CCCUUAGAUGUCCUGGGCCGCACGCGCGUUACACUGAUGCAUUCAACGAGCUUAUAACCUUGGCCGAGAGGCCUGGGCAAUCUUGUUAACGUGCAUCGUGAUAGGGAUAGAUUAUUGAAAUUAUUAAUCUUGAACGAGGAAUUCCUAGUAAACGCAGAUCAUCAAUCUGCAUUGAUUACGUCCCUGCCCUUUGUACACACCGCCCGUCGCACCUACCGAUUUGAUGGUCCGGUGAAGCCUCGGGAUUGUGGUUCUUGCCGCUUUAUUGUGGCGUGACCGCGAGAACUUGUCUAAACCUUAUCAUCUAGAGGAAGGUGAAGUCGUAACA
rnacentral:rRNA from 1 species